AUUCCAGCUCCAAUAGCGUAUACUAAAGUUGUUGCAGUUAAAAAGCUCGUAGUUGAAUUUGUGGUGGUUCCUGUGUUACCAAAAUGUUUUGGUACCUCUUGGAACUCCCAUCUGUGGGUGGAACCUGUGAGGCAUUAGGUUGUUUUGUGGGGGAUGCUCACCAUUUACUGUGAAAAAAUUAGAGUGUUCAAAGCAGGCUUACGCCAUUGGAUAGAUUAGCAUGGAAUAAUGAAAUAAGACUUGGGUACUAUUUUGUUGGUUUAUGCACCAAAGUAAUGAUUAAUAGGGACAGUUGGGGGUAUUCGUAUUCCAUUGUCAGAGGUGAAAUUCUUGGAUUUCUGGAAGACGAACCACUGCGAAAGCAUUUACCAAGGAUGUUUUC
rnacentral:rRNA from 1 species